UAACCUGCCUUGGAGUGGGGAAGUAACAGCUGGAAACAGCUGCUAAUACCGCAUGAUGCAGUUGAGUCGCAUGGCUCUGACUGCCAAAGAUUUAUCGCUCUGAGAUGGACUCGCGUCUGAUUAGCUGGUUGGCGGGGUAACGGCCCACCAAGGCGACGAUCAGUAGCCGGACUGAGAGGUUGGCCGGCCACAUUGGGACUGAGACACGGCCCAGACUCCUACGGAAGGCAGCAG
rnacentral:rRNA from 1 species